UACGUAGGGCGCGAGCGUUGUCCGGAUUUAUUGGGCGUAAAGAGCUCGUAGGCGGCUUGUUGCGUCAGCUGUGAAAACCCGCAGCUCAACUGUGGGCUUGCAGCUGAUACGAGCAAACUAGAGUGUUGCAGGGGAGACUGGAAUUCCUGGUGUAGCGGUGAAAUGCGCAGAUAUCAGGAGGAACACCGGUGGCGAAGGCGGGUCUCUGGGCCGUAACUGACGCUGAGGAGCGAAAGCAUGGGGAGCGAACAGG
rnacentral:rRNA from 1 species